rnacentral:rRNA from 1 species
CCCUUAGAUGUUCUGGGCCGCACGCGUGCUACACUGAUGCAUUCAACGAGUCUAAAACCUGGUCUGAUAGGGCUGGGUAAUCUUUUGAAAGUGCAUCGUGAUUGGGAUAGAUGAUUGCAAUUCUUCAUCUUCAACGAGGAAUGCCUAGUAAACGCAAGUCAUCAGCUUGCAUUGAUUACGUCCCUGCCCUUUGUACACACCGCCCGUCGCUCCUACCGAUUGAAUGAUCCGAUGAAUAUCAUGGAUUGAGAGUACGAAUGGGUUCGCUCAUUUCUGUUGCUCGAGAAGUGAAGUAAAUCUUAUCAUUUAGAGGAAGGAGAAGUCGUAACA